GCGCUAACCGCAAGGAAGGCAGCUAACCACGGUAGGGUCAGCGACUGGGGUGAAGUCGUAACAAGGUAGCCGUAGGGGAACCUGCGGCUGGAUCACCUCCUUUCUAAGGAAGCUGUGGAAUUGGUAAGACACCUGUCUAGAACAGGAUGAACCUUCCCGUGCUUUUUAGAACAUAGAUGGCGCCAGUCAGGUGACCAUCGAAACGUAAUACGCCACGGAAUUACUUCGGUAAUCGGAUUGGUAUGGCGAGGUUCGCCGUCCACGUUUCUCUUUCUUCAAGAAGACAAAAGCCGCAUCGACCGGUACCGGAAUGGGCCCGUAGCUCAGUUGGUUAGAGCACACGCUUGAUAAGCGUGGGGUCGGAAGUUCAAGUCUUCCCGGGCCCACCAUUUGCAUAUGCGAAUGAGGGUUUGGGUUGAGACUGUUGGUUGAUGCGAAUUGUUGCCGCGCCUGGUUGAUGAGACCUGGGUGAUCGAGCUGGAUGGGGCUGUAGCUCAGCUGGGAGAGCACCUGCUUUGCAAGCAGGGGGUCAGCGGUUCGAUCCCGCUCAGCUCCACCAUUUAUUUGCGCUCACGGGUGAGCGGUCCUUCGGACCUACCCUCCGCGAGGGCGCCGAACGAUCGGCGACGCGCUAUCGCGCUGUACUGGAGAAUUGAUCCGGCUGCUCGAAUUGUCUUCUGAAGAAAUAAAGGUUUGCAUCUUUUGCUAAGAAAGAUGCCUGUUUUGGAUACAUUGUGAAGAGAAGAUAUGUCUGGAAGCGUCCAGGUGUUUUGAGCCCUUGUGGUUUGAAGCGUCCGAGCCCAGUCCCUGAGAAACCGUGUGAUGGCUAAGUCGGCCGGAAUUGGUGGAGGGUUGGAGGUAGGAAGGAUCGCUUGUCCGAGGCAUGUUUGUUGUUUGAAGGUUUAGGCCUUCAUCUGAUGGACAUGCUGGAUUGAUGUUGCCUGACCGCGCAUCACCGGAUGAUAUCUCGAGAAGCUGGUCUUAAUGAUACGACCUCGAAGUGCACCGGCGUGCCUUCAUAUGAGGAUUGUAUCGAACACGUCGAUGUCAUCGUGACUUGAUCUGGUUGUAAAAGGUAACCGGAUCUGCCGGUCAUUCCUUCGGAAUGACGGCUUGAUGAUGAGCAUAGACAAUGAGAACGAAGAAGUGAAUUAAGGGCAUUUGGUGGAUGCCUUGGCAUGCACAGGCGAAGAAGGACGUGAUACGCUGCGAAAAGCCGUGGGGAGCUGCGAAUAAGCUUUGAUCCAUGGAUCUCCGAAUGGGGCAACCCACCUUAAAUGCUUGGGAAAUCUGUUUUGUUGGCUGGAUGGUCUGUUUGGGUUUACCCAUACAGGGCGCUAGCCCGUCGGUGCUUUUGCACCGCGCCGUCCGCAGGCCUUUGGCCGUGAGGACAGAACUGAACAGGUUUCCAAGCAUUGUGAUAAGGUAUGCUUACUUUCGAAUA
rnacentral:sRNA from 1 species